rnacentral:rRNA from 1 species
ACGAACGCUGGCGGCGUGCCUAAUCCCUGCAAGUAGAACGCACAGUUUAUACCGUAGCUUGCUACACCAUAAACUGUGAGUUGCGAACGGGUGAGUAACGCGUAGGUAACCUGCCUGGUAGCGGGGGAUAACUAUUGGAAACGAUAGCUAAUACCGCAUAAUAUUGAUUAUUGCAUGAUAAUUGAUUGAAAGAUGCUAUUGCAUCACUACCAGAUGGACCUGCGUUGUAUUAGCUAGUAGGUGAGGUAACGGCUCACCUAGGCGACGAUACAUAGCCGACCUGAGAGGGUGAUCGGCCACACUGGGACUGAGACACGGCCCAGACUCCUACGGGAGGCAGCAGUAGGGAAUCUUCGGCAAUGGACGAAAGUCUGACCGAGCAACGCCGCGUGAGUGAAGAAGGUUUUCGGAUCGUAAAGCUCUGUUGUAAGAGAAGAACGGGUGUGAGAGUGGAAAGUUCACACUGUGACGGUAUCUUACCAGAAAGGGACGGCUAACUACGUG